rnacentral:rRNA from 1 species
GGAAGUAAAAGUCGUAACAAGGUCCCCGUUGGUGAACCAGCGGAGGGAUCAUUACCGAGUUAUCCAACUCCCAACCCCUGUGAAUUAUACCUUUAAUUGUUGCUUCGGCGGGACUUUGCGCCCGCCGGGGACCCAAACCUUCUGAAUUUUUUAAUAAGUAUCUUCUGAGUGGUUAAAAAAAAUGAAUCAAAACUUUCAACAACGGAUCUCUUGGUUCUGGCAUCGAUGAAGAACGCAGCGAAAUGCGAUAAGUAAUGUGAAUUGCAGAAUUCAGUGAAUCAUCGAAUCUUUGAACGCACAUUGCGCCCGUCAGUAUUCUGGCGGGCAUGCCUGUUCGAGCGUCAUUACGCCCCUCAAGUCCCCUGUGGACUUGGUGUUGGGGAUCGGCGAGGCUGGUUUUCCAGCACAGCCGUCCCUUAAAUUGAUUGGCGGUCUCGCCGUGGCCCUCCUCUGCGCAGUAGUAAAACACUCGCAACAGGAGCCCGGCGCGGUCCACUGCCGUAAAACCCCCAACUUUUUAUAGUUGACCUCGAAUCAGGUAGGACUACCCGCUGAACUUAAGCAUAUCAAUAAGCGGAGGA